GUGGAAAGAGUGAGUGGUCAAAUUCGGCGUGCUUCACAGUACAGUUUAGAUUACUUACCUGUGACGAUUUAUAUCCUUAUUUCUUCCCGUGCGAUCCAGUUUUGAACAUUCCGAGUAUUGAGUCGAUGACGGAAAUGUCUCCAUGCAGGGAGGAAAUGUCCGUUAUGUGUGGACGCCAUUAUCUAGUACCUUCGUCUAAUCGAACGGUGUCGCCAUUGUCCUUUGCGUGACCUGAUCAAUGAUACAUAUGUGACCGAAACAAUACUGAUGACAAUACUGAAUGUUAAACUGUGCCAAUAAAUACUGUUGGAACCAUACCGCUUCGAGAAGAAAUUACAUCAUCUCAUCUUCAUUCCUGUGUCCUGACUGAUGCACCAUCCUGUUUACUGCCCAAACCUAUAUGAAUUAACCCUACUUAAUUGCCUCACCAACAAUUAGAGUCUCUGUAUAUAUAUAUAUAUAUGUAUAUAUGUUUACUUAUUGUGUAAUGGUGUAUUAUGUAUUUUGCCUGUGAUUUGUGACUGUUUUGGUGGUGACUGGUGUCACCGUUUGGUGGUGGGGGUGUUAUGACUCCCUGCCCUUGUGCACUAGUGGCUGCUUGUGGUGUUGCAACAUUGGUUUUGAUUGUCUUCCUAAUAGGAAAUUGGUGUCACCUGGAGGGGAUCUACUUAAGGGGCCCUCUGGCUGAUGCUCUCUCUCUUUCUCUCCAUUCAGAGGACAACCUGCAGUCUGGCUACACUGCUCAUUCAUUUUCUUUUCUUUUUUAGGUUUCUUUAAUUAAAAAUAUUUUUGAAUUGCAACUAUUUUGUGUGAUCUCGUUUAUGUUGCGACUGGCCAGGGGCUGGUCGUAACAAUUGUAUUUCUUGUUUAGUCCACAUGUGUCUUGGUAGUUUUUGGUGUCUGCUCUUUUUGCUCUGUUUCUUGCCUUGCUACUCUGUAAACAGUCUUUGUGACAGUUCUCUGCAAAAAAAAACACUGUACAAAUAAUGUACAAAUAAAACUGAAUUGAAAAAAAUGUAA